AUUGAACGCUGGCGGCAUGCCUAACACAUGCAAGUCGAACGCGAAAGUCACUUCGGUGGCGAGUAGAGUGGCGGACGGGUGAGUAACGCGUGGGAAUCUGCCUCGUAGUGGGGGACAACCCGGGGAAACCCGGGCUAAUACCGCAUACGUCUUACGAGAGAAAGGGGGCCUCUGCUUGCAAGCUCUCGCUAUGAGAUGAGCCCGCGUCGGAUUAGUUAGUUGGUGGGGUAAAGGCUCACCAAGGCGACGAUCCGUAGCUGGUCUGAGAGGAUGAUCAGCCACACUGGGACUGAGACACGGCCCAG
rnacentral:rRNA from 1 species